CAGCUAGAACAGGAAAAUCUCCAUUAGACUGCCACCCGUCGUUGCGGAAGUUCAAGCUCCUUCCCUUAUCAAGAGAUAUGUUGCUGUGUCACAAUGUUUCUUGGAAGAUUGAUGGCAUUUUUAACAAAGCUCCUGAUCCCGUUGCCAUGGCGUUGCAUUUCUCUGAAAUGCACAAACUCAUCGAUUAUAUUCUCCACUUGGUUUGAAACUUCUCUGACUUGCCUCACCCAAGUCUCCACCAGCUCGCUCCUUUCUUUGCUUCUCUCUGCGUCUCUUAUGAAGGAUCUCAUGAACUCUAACUCAAGCUUGAUUUCUUCGAUUUCAUCACGAGCAUCUCCCAACAAUGCAGCCUGUUGCAAAACGAUGGUGGCCAACUUUUCGAUCCACAUCAGAAAUCUAUUGGAGAAGAGAGGAGGAAGGAGCAGAGAAAGUGCAAUGGAAUGAGAUGUUAAAGACUUAGAGGCAUUCAAUCCUUUGACCUGGCCUCAAGAAGACUUUCAGUAAGACCUCAACCACUCCUGUUAGCAUGAGAAAGAACAGUCCACUCCUGCCAUUGUUUAAGAUUGUUCUUUUGGGGGUCUUGGCACAAUUUUGUUCAAUUGUUCUUUUUGAGUUUUGACACGGUUUUGUUCAUUUGCAGUCCACAUCAGAAAUCUAUUCCAGAGAGGAGGAAGGAGCAGAGGAAGUACAAUGGAAUUACUCACUUUAGUUAACAGAUUAUGUACAUAUAAAUAGAUUGAAGGUAGAUAAUAUGUUAACUGUAAGUACAUAAUUUGGACAAGAUUCAUAAUACGUAUGCUGGAUCCUGGUCCAUGAUAUUAGUAUUGACUCCAUGCCUAUGAUAAUUUGGGCUUUGAUGGCUUGUACAGCAAUGUAUGCUGGAUCCUGGUCCAUGAUAUUAGUAUUGACUCCAUGCCUAUGAUAAUUUGGGCUUUGAUGGCUUGUACA